AAAGCUCAGCAUACACGGACUCACACAAACCUUUUGCUAGAGGCAGCUCUGUAGACUUAAGACGCUGUCAUUUUUCAGAAGAACCCAGCUUGCUUUGGAACUACAGUCAGCCCUGCAACCCACCCUCACCUUGGACCCUGCUGCUGCUGUCUGUAAAGGGUCUGGAUGAAGGAAGGGAGCCUCCAGCUUGUCGGCUGUACUUGCCCAGAAUUUAGCCUUUGCAACAUGGAGCUGCGGGGAUGGGAAAUGUUGUCCACUAGCCUUCCGUAG
rnacentral:lncRNA from 1 species